AUUGAACGCUAGCGGGAUGCUUUACACAUGCAAGUCGAACGGCAGCGCGGACUUCGGUCUGGCGGCGAGUGGCGAACGGGUGAGUAAUGUAUCGGAACGUGCCCAGUAGCGGGGGAUAACUACGCGAAAGCGUAGCUAAUACCGCAUACGCCCUACGGGGGAAAGCAGGGGAUCGUAAGACCUUGCACUAUUGGAGCGGCCGAUAUCGGAUUAGCUAGUUGGUGAGGUAACGGCUUACCAAGGCGACGAUCCGUAGCUGGUUUGAGAGGACGACCAGCCACACUGGGACUGAGACACGGCCCAGACUCCUACGGGAGGCAGCAGUGGGGAAUUUUGGACAAUGGGGGCAACCCUGAUCCAGCCAUCCCGCGUGUGCGAUGAAGGCCUUCGGGUUGUAAAGCACUUUUGGCAGGAAAGAAACGUCGCGGGCUAAUACCCCGUGGAACUGACGGUACCUGCAGAAUAAGCACCGGCUAACUACGUG
rnacentral:rRNA from 1 species